GUCCCAGAUAGCUCAGUUGGUCAGAGCGUGGUGCUGAUAACACCAAGGUUGCAGGUUUGAUUCCCGUAUGGGACA
rnacentral:tRNA from 1 species